UGGCAGUGUUUGUUAGCUGGUUGAAUAUUUAAAUGGCACCAGCUGACAGACAGCUGCUUUC
rnacentral:pre_miRNA from 1 species